GCCGAAAUAGCUCAGUUGGGAGAGCGUUUGACUGAAGAUCUAAAGGUCCCUGGUUCAAAUCCCGGGUUUUGGCA